UUCUGACCCUGAGAGCACCUGGCAGGUAUGUGGAAAAAAGAAAUGUGCAUUAAAACAGACCAGGUUACAUCACAAUUUUUAAAAUUUCACUGUGGAAAAAGUUACAAACGAAUGUAAACUUACCAGAAGUAAGAAAGAUAUAAUAUUUCCAAACCAGACACAGAGGAAAAUACAAGACAGGAGGAAUGUACACAGCCUGCAAUACUCUAGCAGUAAGUACUACUACUGGCUGGAAGAUAGGAAGCAGUCAUCGGUGAGCAUGGAAGGAAGAGCCAUUAUGCCCACGUGCAUCAGGAGUAAAUGCUGAGUUCUGGUCGGUCAUGGCGCAACAGUCUCCAAGGGGAACUCCCAAUUACUUCCAAAGGAAAGUUGAACUCCCACUAAUCUGUAGUGGAGCAGUUUUUAUACCUUCUUAAAACCCAGAAGAAUGAGUAUCAGAGUACUCUAUGUGAUCCUCAGAAAUAAAAACCACAAGUCUAGGGCUGCUAAAGUACCCUACCAAAAUAUGUACUUGUCCUUUUAUCAUUCCCACACAUAUGUACAUCCUGCACAUUUUUCUUUCUAUGGAUUUAUAACUCUUCCAUUUGUCUGGGCUUUGUCUCUAAAACAGUGACAAUUACUGACAGAAAACUAA
rnacentral:lncRNA from 1 species